UUUUUUUUUUUUUUUUUUUCUUUUUAGGCUUGGAAAGGAAGACAAGGCCUUGUAGCCCCAAGCUCUCAAAAUUGAGAUUCUGUUUUCAAUGGCUGAUGCUGUGUCUAUCAUUCAGUAGGACACUGGUUCAAUAACACCCUUGGUUUGGGAGCCAUCAAAAGGCUUAGCAUGUCAUAUUCUAAUCUCAAUUUUUUUUUCCAAGGGGAAUGGAAACGCUGGAAACAAAUACACACAAACAAUUCUGUCACACGGAUGGGAACACCUGUUUCAAAACUUCCAAUUUAAAUGAAAAUAAGAUGGACAAAUAUUGAACACAUCAGACACAGAAUCCAUUUGGGUGAAGGGACACAUUCAACACAUGUUUGCAGCCUGAAGUCUCUGUGACAGCUCAGCAAAUCAGUAGUCACGUGGGCAGAAAAUUUAAAUACAUUUGAAAGUUAAUGUAGGCUUAAAAGGCUGGCAAAAUAAACUGUCAGGACAACUCAAUUAGCUGCACUCCAGCAAAGUGUGCAGCUGAUAAAAGGAAUUAGUCUGCUCCUCCCAAAUUUACUGUGUAUGUGUGUCUCUUAUAAGCAAAAAUGACUUCUGGCAGGGUCUGCUGCUUUAGUGUUGGGUGAGUCUGAACAUCCUGAGAUGGGCUGUGAUCCCUUUUCAUUCUCCAUGCAUGUAUUAUAGAGAUCUACAAUGGAAGAGAGAAUGAAAAGAGAGAUAACACUGUGCCCAGAUGACGUUUUAAUUCUGUGGUUGAUGUCAAUGUGAUUAAUUGAUUUAUGGUUAAAUAACAUCUUUGCCUUUGCAAAAGGAGAGUCAUCUACAGAUAUUGCUAGGGUAAAACAUUCCACAGAGGAACCCAGUCAGCAACUGUCCAGAAAAAAAGAAAAUGAUUAUAUCUACACAUUCCUAUUUUUAUCGUGUGCUAUAUAAAUACUUCAUUGCACUUUUAGUAAAAGAAAUUAGCAGCAAGAUGGGCAUUCAGAUGCUUCUCAUGUUGGUGUAGUCAAAGCUACCAUUUAUUUAAAGUCCAACUCAUGUUUUCACUAGAAGAAAGAGCAAUGAUUUUCAAUAAGAUCUGCUAAACUUUCUUUAAAAUAGGGAUAUGAUUACAGCAUCUGACUGAUGUAUGCAACCCAAAACUCUUCAAAGAAUACUAGAAAAAGGAGGUGUUUAAAAUUUCUUUGCUUCCCCAAAGAUCAAGCUCAAAGGAUUGAUGUGCAUUAUCUUUAUGACUUUGUAGCACGUGUGAAGGACAUCUAUGCUAAAGAAACAGUGCAGCCCAUUCUGAUAAUCAAUUCAGACUAUGUUGCUAGCAUGUCUGGAAUGACAUCUCCUUAUUAAUUAUCCAUUGGAAAGCACAUAUAUGCACACAAGUAAAAACACAUUUCUUCCAAUACCAAGCAAAGCUACCGUUGGACUGGAUUCUUCAUUGACAUCUAGAUGUUACCUCAGUUCCCUUGGCCAUAAAGGGAGGUUGAUACUUACCAACUACCUCCCAUUAGGGUAGAGAAAAGAAGUUAGUUGAUGGGAAAUGAUUUGUGUAUGGAGAGUGGCAUAAAUAGCAUGCUUUCUUGUUUUACAUUUGCUGUUCGUAAUGAGUUUAUUGCUUCUAGGAUACUAACAGGAACUAGGUAAUACAUUUUGUAAAUAGUUGGACAGAGAAAAUGACUAGGAGGCAGUCCUCUUGUCUCAUUUUUAUUUAGAAAUCUGAGAUUGUGAGGAAAAAAUGGUGC
rnacentral:lncRNA from 1 species